rnacentral:rRNA from 1 species
UAUCUCUGUAGAGUCUGCAUAUCAAUAAGCGGAGGAAAAGAAACUAACAAGGAUUCCCUAGUAACGGCGAGUGAAGCGGGAAGAGCUCAAAUUUGAAAUCUUCAAGGUUUACCUUGACGAAUUGUAGUUUAAAGAAGUGUUUUCUGUUAGAUGAGUAGUAAAAGUUCCUUGGAAUAGGACAUCAUAGAGGGCGAGAAUCCCGUAUUUGACUAUUCAUUUCUAGCUUUGUGAUACACUUUCAAAGAGUCGGAUUGUUUGGGAAUGCAGUCCAAGAUGGGUGGUAAAUUUCAUCUAAAGCUAAAUAUUGGCGAGAGACCGAUAGCGAACAAGUACCGUGAGGGAAAGAUGAAAAGAACUUUGAAAAGAGAGUUAAACAGUACGUGAAAUUGUCAAAAGGGAAGCGUUUGACACCAGUGUUGUUUUUCCGAAAAUCAAUUAAAAAUUGAUUCAUGCCAGGUUGUAUUGACCUUAUCAGCUUGCAAUUUGGUUUUGGGUCUCUUUUUGAUGCACUUUUCGGUUAACAAGUCAACAUCAAUUUCCUUUGCUGUAAAAAGGUAAGAGGAAGGUGGCUUCAAUUUCGGUUGAAGUGUUUAUAGCCUUUUAUCUCUGCAGUCGGGGAGAUUGAGAUCUGCAGCGUAGAUCCUUCGGGGCUAGAUACAUUUAUGCUAAGUUAUAGCUUUUCAUAGACAACUUGUUGACUAUGUUUAGUCAUGUAGCUUACUCGUAAGUGCUAUUUUACCUACGCUUAGGAUGUUGAAGACUCUACAGAGAUA